GUGGCUAUAGCUCAGUUGGUUAGAGCAUCGGUUUGUGGUACCGAGGGUCGCGGGUUCGAGUCCCGUUAGCCACCCCU
rnacentral:tRNA from 1 species